UAAGCGGAGGAAAAGAAACUAACAAGGAUUCCCCUAGUAACGGCGAGUGAAGCGGGAAGAGCUCAACUUUGUAAUCUGGCUGCUUCGCAGUCCGAGUUGUAGUCUAUAGAAGCAUGAUCCGCGCCGGACCUUGGCCAUGUCUGUUGGAAAGCAGUGUCAAAGAGGGUGAUAAUCCCGUACAUACCAAGGACGACCGUGUGCAUUGUGGUCUGCUCUCUAAGAGUCGAGUUGUUUGGGAAUGCAGCUCUAAUCGGGUGGUAAAUUCCAUCUAAAGCUAAAUACCGACGAGAGACCGAUAGCGAACAAGUACAGUAAUGGAAAGAUGAAAAGUAGCCUGCAGAGGCAAUGAAACAAUACGUGAAACCGUUUGUAGGGAAACGAUGGAACCUUUUCACGCUGCAGGGGCUCAGCCUGGCUUCGGCUUGGUGUAUUCCCCUGUUUUGCGGGCCAGCAUCAGUUUGCUUUGCGGUAUAAGGGUGAUUGGAAUGUGGCUCCCACGGGAGUGUUAUAGCCUUUCACUGGAUGCCGCGUCGCAGACUGAGGACUGCAGUGCGCCAUUAGGCAUUACCCCCGGGUAACGAGCACUUAGGAUGCUGGUAGAAUGGGUUUCAACGACCCGUCUUGAAACACG
rnacentral:rRNA from 1 species